rnacentral:rRNA from 1 species
CUACGGGCGGCACCAGUGAGGAAUAUUGGUCAAUGGUCGCGUGCCUGAACCAGCCAUCCCGCGUGCAGGAUGACGGCCCUAUGGGUUGUAAACUGCUUUUCUAUGCCAAGAAACCCUGUUACGAGUAACAGGUUGCCGGUAGCAUAGGAAUAAGCAUCGGCUAACUCCGUGCCAGCAGCCGCGGUAAUACGGAGGAUGCAAGCGUUAUCCGGAUUCAUUGGGUUUAAAGGGUGCGCAGGUGGGCUUGUAAGUCAGUGGUGAAAUGCUGCCGCUUAACGGUAGAACUGCCAUUGAUACUGCGAGUCGUGAGUAUGGUUGAGGUAGGCGGAAUGUGUUGUGGAGCGGUGAAAUGCAUAGAUAUGACACAGAACGCCAAUUGCGAAGGCAGCUUACUAAGCCAUUACUGACGCUGAGGCACGAAAGCGUGGGGAGCGAACAGGAUUAGAUACCCUCGUAGUC